UCAAAUAACCUAUUCGAAAACAUAAAAUUCUAAGUACCAACAGCAUACAACAAUACCAAAAAUCAACCCACCCGAGUUGCACGAUCUUUGUCCUCUCUCGCGUCUGAAACUCAGAUGAAACCCGGAAAUCCCUGCAGUCACCCGAUGCAUCCUCCAUUCUCUCUUCCUACGAAGACCAUUGGAGAGGUGAGAUGUUGAGAUCUCGUGCCUAGAUCGUCCUUCACUCAAAAUCAACGCCUCACCAUUCAAAUUUUUACACUAACCAAUGGGAAAUCCCUAUCUUUUAAGGGAUUUUGAAAAUUCUCAAAAAUCCCACAUUGUUUGUUCUCAGAUUUUUGGGAAUUUUUGGGUUUCUAUAUAAACCCUCUUCAUUCGCUGUUUCAGGAGAGGAUUUUCGGAGACCAAAGAGUACCCAUAAAAUUUUGGAAAUUCUUGGUUCCAUAGUUUAAUAUUUUUAAAACCUUUUUGUGAUUGUUUGAGUUUAGAGGGGUGGUGGAAUCGUCUCGGUUAAACUUGUCGUCCGGUUCGCUGCGGAAAGAGUCCAAAUUGGACUCCCAUCCCUGGAACAUUCCUCUUCUUGUGUCAACCUCCUUCAAAGUUUGGAGAUGGAGAUAAUAUUAUUCGGUUAAAAUCCCAAGGCAGCAAUUUAGUAGCAAAGUAGCAGCAGUCCCAAAGGGAUCAAAAUUGGGAAUUUUGAACUAUAAUGAAUCUAAUUCAUACAAUAACAGGUUGCAGCAUUCACAACUGACAAAAAUGGGAAUAUUUUCUUUAGAUUUUGGAGUUCAAUUUGAUCGUGGCAGCAACAAAGAGUAUUUAGGCCAAGGGCCUAGAUCCUCACUAUUUAUUAUCUUGGUUAUAUGUUCUUAAUUUGUUUUUGUUUGGAAAUGCUAACAUUUUCUUCGAUUAACUUAGAUUAAUCCUUUGGAGGUUUUCGAAUGGCUAUUCUAUUUCGUCAUUUGUUUA